rnacentral:rRNA from 1 species
UCUUUAAACGGCCGCGGUAUCCUAACCGUGCAAAGGUAGCAUAAUCACUUGUCCCCUAAAUAGGGACUGGUAUGAAUGGCUAAAUGAGGACUAAACUGUCUCUUGCGGACUGGCCAAUGAAAUUGAUUUUCCAGUACAAAAGCUGGAAUGUACUCAUAAGACGAGAAGACCCUGUGGAGCUUCAAAACCAAAUCACCCAGCAUGUUCAUUGGAUUUUUAGUUGGGGCGACUUCGGAAUAUAGUAAAACUUCCAAAAUAAAUUAAUUCCAUCAAGAUUAACACACCAAAAUUUCUUUAUAGAUCCAGCAAAUAAUUUUAUUUAUCUGAUCAAUGAACCAAGUUACCCCAGGGAUAACAGCGCAAUCUCCUUUUAGAGUCCAUAUCGACAAGGGGGUUUACGACCUCGAUGUUGGAUCAGGACACCCCAAUGGUGCAGCCGCCAUUAAAGGUUCGUUUGUUCAACGAUUAACAGUCCUACAUGAUCUGAGUUCAGACCGGA